AAUCCUACCUAGAAAGUUGUACCCACAACAUCUAGUAACGAGUCUUGGAGCGAAGUUGGUAACAAUUAGUUUAAGCGUAGACAGUUAGGUAUUAGGGUUAGUAUUGAGCCCCGAAAUUCCGAUAGAAAUCGGGUGGCAGAUGUUCUCUUAAUGACAGAAUGCAAUAUCUAUAAAUAUGCAAAUGGGUUAUAUUUAUAGACACCUGCGGGGUCUGAAA
rnacentral:ncRNA from 1 species